rnacentral:rRNA from 1 species
CACGUAGUUAGCCGUGGCUUCCUCCUCAGGUACCGUCAUUAUCGUCCCUGAAGACAGAGCUUUACAACCCGAAGGCCGUCAUCACUCACGCGGCGUUGCUGCAUCAGGGUUUCCCCCAUUGUGCAAUAUUCCCCACUGCUGCCUCCCGUAGGAGUCUGGGCCGUGUCUUAGUCCCAAUGUGGCCGAUCACCCUCUCAGGUCGGCUACGCAUCGUCGCCUUGGUGAGCCCGUUACCUCACCAACUAGCUAAUGCGCCGCGGGCCCAUCUCAUAGCGGAUUACUCCUUUAAUUGCUGUACCAUGCGGUACUACAAUCUUAUGCGGUAUUAAUCUUCCUUUCGAAAGGCUAUUCCCCUCUAUGAGGCAGGUUACCCACGUGUUACUCACCCGUCCGCCGCUAAUCCAUUUCCCGAAGGAAUUUCAUCGCUCGACUUGCAUGUGUUAGGCACGCCGCCAGCGUUCGUCCUGAGCCAGGAUCAAACUCU